rnacentral:rRNA from 1 species
CAGCAGCCGCGGUAAUACGUAUGUCACGAGCGUUAUCCGGAUUUAUUGGGCGUAAAGCGCGUCUAGGUGGUUAUAUAAGUCUGAUGUGAAAAUGCAGGGCUCAACUCUGUAUUGCGUUGGAAACUGUAUAACUAGAGUACUGGAGAGGUAAGCGGAACUACAAGUGUAGAGGUGAAAUUCGUAGAUAUUUGUAGGAAUGCCGAUGGGGAAGCCAGCUUACUGGACAGAUACUGACGCUGAAGCGCGAAAGCGUGGGUAGCAAACAGGAUUAGAUACCCGGGUAGUCCCUGUCUCUUAUACA